AUGGCGAUGCGGGCGGCAGCGGCCUUCUUCUCGCCCUCCGUCUCCCCGAGCCCGAAGCAGCAGCACACGCACUCCGUCUUCUCCCCCCGGCGCGGCUCCACCCGCCGUAUCGAUCCCCGUCGCCUCCGCGCCUUCCCAGCCACCGAGCUCACCCUCGAGGAGCUCAACCCCUCCGUCGCACUGCUCAGGAAGACCGCGGAGGCCGUCGGCGAUUUCAGGAAGACGCCCAUCUACAUCGUCGGGACGGACUGCAAUGCCAAGCGCAACAUCGCCAAGCUGCUCGCCAACUCCAUCAUUUACCGCUACCUCUGCAGCGAGGACCUGCUCGAGGACGUCCUCGGCGGCAAGGACGCCCUCGCCGCCUUCCGGGAGUCCGACGAGAAAGGCUACCUCGAAGUCGAGACCGAGGGGCUGAAGCAGCUCACGUCCAUGGGCAGCCUCGUGCUUUGCUGUGGCGAUGGCGCCGUCAUGAACUCCACCAACUUAGGGCUACUGAGGCAUGGAGUCUCCAUCUGGAUCGAUGUCCCUCUCGAAUUAGCCGUGAACGAUAUGUUGAAGAGCAAGGGAGCACAAGCUAUUUCAGACCCUGAUUCCUUUUCUCAGGCAAUGGCAAAGCUCCGUCAGCGUUAUGAUGAUCUGAAAGAGCGGUAUGCAGUUUCUGAUGUUACUGUUUCAGUACAGAACGUGGCUUCUCAGCUAGGCUACAGCAGCAUCGACUCUUUGAGCCUGGAGGACAUGGUCAUUGAGAUUGUGAGUCGGAUUGAGAAGCUGAUCCAAGCGAAGGCGAUGAUGGAAGCUGCUGGGAAGCCUGAAUGA
rnacentral:rRNA from 1 species